AUAUCUAUCUCGGUCUUUUGGCUAAGAUCAAGUGUAGUAGAUGUUCUCAUCAAUUUAAUAGAAUCUGAUGGGGCCAUCAACCUAUAUGGUAUUAAAUUUAUUUUUUGAGGGAGAAAGCCCAUUAAGAUAGCUUGGUAUCUGGGCUUUCCCGCAUCGCCUUUGCAUUGCACUAUUGCAUUGGUCCGACGUAGCUCAC